UACGGAGGGUGCGAGCGUUGUCCGGAAUCAUUGGGCGUAAAGGGCGCGUAGGUGGCCCCUCAAGCGUGCGGUGAAAGUCAGGGGCUCAACCCCUGAUCGGCCGUGCGAACUGGGGAGCUUGAGCACUGUAGAGGCAGGCGGAAUUCCGGGUGUAGCGGUGGAAUGCGUAGAUAUUCGGAAGAACACCAGUGGCGAAGGCGACUCACUGGACACGUAUUGACGCUGAGGUGCGAAAGCGUGGGGAGCAAACAGG
rnacentral:rRNA from 1 species